rnacentral:rRNA from 1 species
CCAGCAGCCGCGGUAAUUCCAGCUCCAAUAGCGUAUAUUAAAGUUGUUGCAGUUAAAAAGCUCGUAGUUGGAUUUCUGGCAGGAGCGACCGGUCUCACACUCUGUGUGAGAACUCGUGUUGUCUCUGGCCAUCCUUGGGGAGAUCCUGUUUGGCAUUAAGUUGUCGGGCAGGGGAUACCCAUCGUUUACUGUGAGAAAAUUAGAGUGUUUCAGGCAGGCUAGGCCGGAAUACAUUAGCAUGGAAUAAUGGAAUAGGACUACGGUCUCUUUGUUGGUUGAGGGGCUGCAGUAAUGAUUAAUAGGGAUAGUUGGGGGCAUUAGUACUUAACUGUCAGAGGUGAAAUUCUCGGAUUUGUUAAAGACUAACUUAUGCGAAAGCAUUUGCCAAGGAUGUUUUCAGUAAUCAAGAACGAAAGU